rnacentral:rRNA from 1 species
UACGGAGGUGGCAAGCGUUGUUCGGAAUUACUGGGCGUAAAGGGCGCGUAGGCGGCAUGGCAAGUCAGAUGUGAAAGCCCCGAGCUUAACUUGGGAAUUGCAUCUGAAACUGUUUUGCUUGAGUCCUGGAGGGGGUAGUGGAAUUCCCAGUGUAGCGGUGAAAUGCGUAGAUAUUGGGAGGAACACCUGCGGCGAAGGCGGCUACCUGGACAGUGACUGACGCUGAUGCGCGAAAGCUAGGGGAGCGAACGGG